GUCGAGCGGAAAGGCUCCUUCGGGGGUACUCGAGCGGCGAACGGGUGAGUAACACGUGAGUAAUCUGCCCUGCGCUUCGGGAUAGCCACCGGAAACGGUGAUUAAUACCGGAUAUGACCGUCCUUCGCAUGUUGGGUGGUGGAAAGUUUUUUCGGCGCAGGAUGUGCUCGCGGCCUAUCAGCUUGAUGGUGAGGUAAUGGCUCACCAUGGCUUCGACGGGUAGCCGGCCUGAGAGGGUGACCGGUCACACUGGGACUGAGACACGGCCCAGACUCCUACGGGAGGCAGCAGUGGGGAAUAUUGGACAAUGGGCGGGAGCCUGAUCCAGCAACGCCGCGUGAGGGAUGACGGCCUUCGGGUUGUAAACCUCUUUCGGUGGGGACGAAGCGCAAGUGACGGUACCCACUAAAGAAGCACCGGCCAACUACGUGCCAGCAGCCGCGGUAAUACGUAGGGUGCGAGCGUUGUCCGGAAUUAUUGGGCGUAAAGGGCUCGUAGGCGGUUUGUCGCGUCGGGAGUGAAAACACUGGGCUUAACUCAGUGCCUGCUUCCGAUACGGGCAGACUAGAGGUAUGCAGGGGAGAACGGAAUUCCUGGUGUAGCGGUGAAAUGCGCAGAUAUCAGGAGGAACACCAAUAGCGAAGGCAGCUCGCUGGGACGUUACUGACACUGAGGCGCGAAAGCGUGGGGAGCGAACAGGAUUAGAUACCCUGGUAGUCCACGCCGUAAACGAUGGGUACUAGGUGUGGGA
rnacentral:rRNA from 1 species